GACCGCGUGGCUCAGUGGCUAACGCGCCUGUCUUUCGAUUUUGAGGUCCCUGGUUCAAUUCCACCCGGCUU